rnacentral:rRNA from 1 species
AUACGGAGGGGGCUAGCGUUGUUCGGAAUUACUGGGCGUAAAGCGUACGCAGGCUGACCAUUAAGUUAGAGGUGAAAUCCCGGGGCUCAACCCCGGAACUGCCUUUAAAACUGCUGGUCUGGAGUUAUGGAGAGGUAAGUGGAAUUCCUAGUGUAGAGGUGAAAUUCGUAGAUAUUAGGAGGAACACCAGAGGCGAAGGCGGCUUACUGGACAUAUACUGACGCUGAGGUACGAAAGUGUGGGGAGCGAACGGGAUUAGAAACCCUAGUAGUCC